rnacentral:rRNA from 1 species
UGGCGGCGUGCUAACACAUGCAAGUCGAGCGGGGACAUAUUGUGAAGCAGAAGUUUUCGGACGGAAGCGGAACGAUAUGUUCUAGCGGCGGACGGGUGAGUAACGCGUGAGCAACCUGUCCCUUACAGGGGGAUAACACAGCGAAAGUUGUACUAAUACCGCAUAAGACCACAGAGUCACAUGGCUUAGGGGUCAAAGGAGCAAUCCGGUAAGGGGUGGGCUCGCGUCCGAUUAGAUAGUUGGUGAGGUAACGGCCCACCAAGUCGACGAUCAGUAGCCGACCUGAGAGGGUGAUCGGCCACAUUGGGACUGAGACACGGUCCAAACUCCUACGGGAGGCAGCAGUGGGGAAUAUUGGGCAAUGGGGGAAACCCUGAUCCAGCAACGCCGCGUGAGCGAAUGAAGGUUUCGGAUCGUAAAGCUCUGAUCUAGGUGAAGAAGAAAGAGACGGUAGCCUAGGAGGAAGCCCCGGCUAACUACGUGCCAGCAGCCGCGGUAAUACGUAGGGGGCAAGCGUUAUCCGGAAUUAUUGGGCGUAAAGCGUGCGUAGGUGGUUACCUAAGCGCAAGGUUUAAUCUUGAGGCUCAACCUCAUUCUGCCUUGCGAACUGGGCUACUUGAGUGCAGGAGGGGAAAGCGGAAUUCCUAGUGUAGCGGUGAAAUGCGUAGAUAUUAGGAAGAACACCAGAGGCGAAGGCGGCUUUCUGGACUGUAACUGACACUGAGGCACGAAAGCGUGGGGAGCAAACAGGAUUAGAUACCCUGGUAGUCCACGCCGUAAACGAUGAGCACUAGUUGUUGGGUCCGAAUGGAUUCAGUGACGCAGUUAACGCAAUAAGUGCUCCGCCUGGGGAGUACGUUCGCAAGAAUAAAACUCAAAGGAAUUGACGGGGACCCGCACAAGCAGCGGAGCAUGUGGUUUAAUUCGAAGCAACGCGAAAAACCUUACCAGGGCUUGACAUCCCUCUGAGGGACCUAACCGUCCUCUCGGCAGAGAC